AUUGGUCCGUUUCAGAUUACAGAAAGAGUAGGAGAGGUUGCUUAUCGUAUUGCUUUACCAACAACACUUGCAAACCUACAUGACGUAUUCCAUAUAUCUCAAUUAAGGAAAUAUAUAGCGGAUCCGUCUCAUGUAAUCCAGGCAGAUGACGUGCAAGUGAGAGAUAAUAUGACAGUUGAGGCGUUGCCUAUGAGGAUUGAAGAUCGGAAGAUAAAGCAACUACGUGGUAAAGAAAUAGCUUUAGUCCGAGUAGCUUGGGGAGGAGCUGCAGGUGGAAAUGUUACGUGGGAGCUAGAGAGUCAGAUGAAAGACUCUUAUCCCGAACUCUUCGUUUGAGGAAAUUGGGAAAAAGAGAAGCAGAAGCAGUAGAAGCAGAUUUUGGGACUGAAGAACACGUGAAAGUGAGAAGAGCCAAAGGGGGAGAAGAACUUCGAAGAUCCGACUCUAAGAUUAAGGAUGUAGCGGCGUGUGAUUGGGUGAAGAUAGCUUAUAAGCUAGCCCGUAGUUCGUGUCGAGUCAUGCUCUGAUUGUAACACUGGGAUCGAUUAGUCUUAGCGUUACUUGAGAUACUAUGUUGUUAUUUUGUUUAUGGAUUAUGUAUUGAUGAGCUGUUUGGAUAUGCUCCUAACAUUGUUUGAAAUAAGUUUCCGCUGUGAUGAACACAUGUUGAAGUUUGGUUAAUUUUAAUAAAAGCAUGACAAUCGACUUUGAUGUUUUAUUUA